rnacentral:lncRNA from 1 species
AUGGGGAGGGGGGAAGCCAAAACGCUUAAAGUUUCCAGCUUAAAACAAAGAGGAAAAAAAAAAGAAAGAAAAAAAAAAAGAAAAAAAAAGGACUUUUUAAGGUGGUUUCCAGGACAGAUGCUUUUCGGGGUGGGAAAGGCUUUGCAAGAGCCCGAAGAGGCGGGGGGGGGGGGGGGGAGGGGGGGGGAAAAAAAAAAAAAAUCGCCGGUCCUUUCCCCCCCGCCGCCGUCGGCACCCGACGCCAUCGCCUCCCGCGCCAAUUCACGCGCGCGCCUCCCUGAAAACGAAAACACAAACAACAAAAAAAGUGCCCCCAACAACAUAGAUUGCAUAGUAUUGCUG